UUGUUGCCACGUUAAAAACCUUGCAAGGAAAACUCAGUGGGACAAAACCUUGUAAGGGAAAAAGAGUGCAACGCGUAUUAACUCCCCCUGAAGAGAGCAUCAAUUCACAUCCUUGAGCCUUCGCGUUCCAAUCUUGUGCACCAUCUUCAAGAGAUCGUUAGUAAAUUUGAUAAAUAAAAUCAGUCAUAUUAACUAUAAUGAAUAUUUGCACCUUUGAAAUCAUAACUCGUGAUAGAUAUAUAAUGUCUUCACAGAUAUCGUGGAAUGACUCUUCAAUAUCUCCAUAAAGGUAUCCUCGCUAUCACAUUAUCAUGCUU
rnacentral:lncRNA from 1 species